rnacentral:rRNA from 1 species
UUCCGUAGGUGAACCUGCGGAAGGAUCAUUAUUGA